GAACGCCCUAUGGUUUUUCGGAGCCAGAGGGAGUGGCGGACGGGUGAGGAACACGUGGGUACCUACCCUCUGGUGAGGAAUAUCGGCGAGAAAUCGCUGACAAUACCGCAUACGUUUCGCAAGAAACAAAGCCCGCAAGGGUGCCAGGGGAAGGGCCUGCGGCCGAUUAGCUGGUUGGUGGGGUAAUGGCCUACCAAGGCGACGAUCGGUAGCUGGUCUGAGAGGAUGGUCAGCCACACUGGGAUUGAGAACGGCCCAGACUCCUACGGGGGGCAGCAGUGAGGAAUUUUCGUCAAUGGGGGCAACCCUGAACGAGCAACGCCGCGUGCAGGAAGAAGGUUUUCGGAUCGUAAACUGCUUUUCUCUGGGACGAGAACGGACGGUACCAGAGGAAGAAGCCCCGGCUAACUACGUG
rnacentral:rRNA from 1 species